GACGAACGCUGGCGGCGUGCCUAAUACAUGCAAGUAGAACGCUGAAGGAGGAGCUUGCUUCUCCGGAUGAGUUGCGAACGGGUGAGUAACGCGUAGGUAACCUGCCUGGUAGCGGGGGAUAACUAUUGGAAACGAUAGCUAAUACCGCAUAAGAGUAGAUGUUGCAUGACAUUUGCUUAAAAGGUGCAAUUGCAUCACUACCAGAUGGACCUGCGUUGUAUUAGCUAGUUGGUGGGGUAACGGCUCACCAAGGCGACGAUACAUAGCCGACCUGAGAGGGUGAUCGGCCACACUGGGACUGAGACACGGCCCAGACUCCUACGGGAGGCAGCAGUAGGGAAUCUUCGGCAAUGGACGGAAGUCUGACCGAGCAACGCCGCGUGAGUGAAGAAGGUUUUCGGAUCGUAAAGCUCUGUUGUAAGAGAAGAACGAGUGUGAGAGUGGAAAGUUCACACUGUGACGGUAUCUUACCAGAAAGGGACGGCUAACUACGUGCCAGCAGCCGCGGUAAUACGUAGGUCCCGAGCGUUGUCCGGAUUUAUUGGGCGUAAAGCGAGCGUAGGCGGUUAGAUAAGUCUGAAGUUAAAGGCUGUGGCUUAACCAUAGUACGCUUUGGAAACUGUUUAACUUGAGUGCAAGAGGGGAGAGUGGAAUUCCAUGUGUAGCGGUGAAAUGCGUAGAUAUAUGGAGGAACACCGGUGGCGAAAGCGGCUCUCUGGCUUGUAACUGACGCUGAGGCUCGAAAGCGUGGGGAGCAAACAGG
rnacentral:rRNA from 1 species